GAUGAACGCUGGCGGCGUGCCUAAUACAUGCAAGUCGAGCGAAUGGAUUAAGAGCUUGCUCUUAUGAAGUUAGCGGCGGACGGGUGAGUAACACGUGGGUAACCUGCCCAUAAGACUGGGAUAACUCCGGGAAACCGGGGCUAAUACCGGAUAACAUUUUGAACCGCAUGGUUCGAAAUUGAAAGGCGGCUUCGGCUGUCACUUAUGGAUGGACCCGCGUCGCAUUAGCUAGUUGGUGAGGUAACGGCUCACCGAGGCGACGAUGCGUAGCCGACCUGAGAGGGUGAUCGGCCACACUGGGACUGAGACACGGCCCAGACUCCUACGGGAGGCAGCAGUAGGGAAUCUUCCGCAAUGGACGAAGGUCUGACGGAGCAACGCCGCGUGAGUGAUGAAGGCUUUCGGGUCGUAAAACUCUGUUGUUAGGGAAGAACAAGUGCUAGUUGAAUAAGCUGGCACCUUGACGGUACCUAACCAGAAAGCCACGGCUAACUACGUGCCAGCCGCCGCAGUAA
rnacentral:rRNA from 1 species